rnacentral:rRNA from 1 species
AUUGAACGCUGGCGGCAGGCCUAACACAUGCAAGUCGAACGGUAACAGGAAGAAGCUUGCUUCUUUGCUGACGAGUGGCGGAUGGGUGAGUAAUGUCUGGGAAACUGCCCGAUGGAGGGGGAUAACUACUGGAAACGGUAGCUAAUACCGCAUAACGUCGCAAGACCAAAGAGGGGGACCUUCGGGCCUCUUGCCAUCGGAUGUGCCCAGAUGGGAUUAGCUAGUAGGUGGGGUAACGGCUCACCUAGGCGACGAUCCCUAGCUGGUCUGAGAGGAUGACCAGCCACACUGGAACUGAGACACGGUCCAGACUCCUACGGGAGGCAGCAGUGGGGAAUAUUGCACAAUGGGCGCAAGCCUGAUGCAGCCAUGCCGCGUGUAUGAAGAAGGCCUUCGGGUUGUAAAGUACUUUCAGCGGGGAGGAAGGGAGUAAAGUUAAUACCUUUGCUCAUUGACGUUACCCGCAGAAGAAGCACCGGCUAACUCCGUG